GGCCUGAGAGUUCAUAGAGAUCAUAGAGAAGUUGAGCUGGAAGGGACCCCCAGAGGUCAUCUACUCCUACCGCCCGCCUGAGGCAGGAUCCAUCAGGAUACCUCUUGGCAAGAAGACUUCUCACUUGUACAAGGAUGAGAGGGAGAUGCUUGAGUAAUAUAUCUAGGCCAGAGCCCAGAACACGCUGUUGCAUGAAUGCCUGGACAGGACUGGCUAUCUAAAGCAAAGACAGUCAUGUGAAAUGCCCCUGAAAAUCUCUGUUUUCAGCAAAAAAUAGGGUGAUGUCUCCCUCCAGCAGCAGUGAACUCCAGCCACUGUGCUCUGCAGGACUAUGUUUCUCAGAGUGUCCUUCACUUGCUGAUCCACAUGCCACUGCCACUAUCUACUCCUGACUGGAGACAGAAAGUGCAGAAGAGGGAGUGUCUUCCUGCCAGGCAAGUGUCUUUUGUUAUCCUCAAGAAAAUUUGUCCACAUUUAGCCAGGAUAGAACCUUCAGGGGAUUUUUCCUCUGGAGCGUGUACAGCGCACUGGGCUGGUAAAGCAGGAGGAUAAGGACACUAUUGGCAUCUUAAGAGUCCUAGAACACCUUGCUACUGCAAGGACAGGAAGCAGUUUGUUAAAAUGCACUCAAGAGAUCAAAGGAAGAGAUCAUGAAACUACAGUUAAUGAUGGACUUUGUAAGAUUUUUAUUAACAUAAACAAGAAGAACAUACCUGCGUAUGAAAAAUAUUACAUAAGGUUUGAUCUGUAAGCAACUGCUCUGGAGUUUUGCAGCCAGGAAUAAACAGCAACAUAUUCGAGGUA